rfam:Lupinus angustifolius cultivar Tanjil chromosome LG06, whole genome shotgun sequence.
UUCCCUCUGAAGUUUCCCUCAAGAUAGUUGGAGCCCGCGGGCGAGUUCUAUUGGGUAAAGCCAAUGGUUAGCCGCAUCGGGGGCGCAACACCCUCGAUCUAUUCUCAAACUUUAAAUAGGUAGGACGGCGUGGCUGCUUUGUAGAGCCACGCCACAAAAUCAAGAGCUCCAAGUGGGCCAUUUUUGGUAAGCAAAACUGGCGAUACGGGAUGAACCAGAAGCUGGGUUACGGUGCCCAACUGCGCGCUAACCUAGACCGCACAAAGGGUGUUGGUUGAUUAAGACAGCAGGACGGUGGUCAUGGAAGUCGAAAUCCGGUAAGGAGUGUGUAACAACUCACCUGCUGAAUCAACUAGCCCCAGAAAUGGAUGGCGCUAAAGCACGCGACCUAUACCCGUCCGUCAGGGAAAGGGCUAGGCCCCGAUGAGUAGGAGGGCGCGGUGGUUGCUGCAAAACCUGGGGCAUGAGCAUGGGCGGAGUGUUCGUCGUUG